rfam:Schistosoma curassoni strain Dakar, Senegal genome assembly, scaffold: SCTD_scaffold0000399
ACCCAGCUGACGAGUCCCAAAUAGGACGAAACGUGCAUCCUGGAU